CCUCAAAUCAGGUAGGAUUACCCGCUGAACUUAAGCAUAUCAAUAAGCGGAGGAAAAGAAACCAACAGGGAUUGCCUUAGUAGCGGCGAGUGAAGCGGCAAGAGCUCAAAUUUGAAAUCUGGUACUUUCAGUAUCCGAGUUGUAAUUUGAAGAAAGUUAUCUUGGAGUUGGCCCUUGUCUAUGUUCCUUGGAACAGGACGUCACAGAGGGUGAGAAUCCCGUGCGAUGGGGUGCCCAUUCUAUGUAAGAUACUUUCGACGAGUCGAGUUGUUUGGGAAUGCAGCUCUAAGUGGGUGGUAAAUUCCAUCUAAAGCUAAAUAUUGGCGAGAGACCGAUAGCGAACAAGUACAGUGAUGGAAAGAUGAAAAGAACUUUGAAAAGAGAGUGAAAAAGUACGUGAAAUUGUUGAAAGGGAAGGGUAUUUGAUCAGACUGAUAUUCAGUUAACACUGUUCCUUGUGGACGGUGCUCUAGCUUUUUAUUGGGCCAGCAUCAGUUUAGGUGGCAGGAUAAGAACUGUUGAACGUGGCUCUUCGAGAUGUGUUAUAGCUUCAGUUGAUACUGCCUAUCUAGACUGAGGUCUGCGGCUUUGCCUAGGAUGCGG
rnacentral:rRNA from 1 species